GCUGAAGUUAUCAAACAAGUGUAUAAAGUUGACGACUUAAAGUGAUGAAUUUCACCACCGUGACCACAGAAUUUGAAGCUCGGCGAUUGGCCGUUUUUUGAAGCAAUGCACUAUGGUAAUGUCAAAGCUGUAGCCCGCCAGUCAUUCUGGUUAGCCGCUGAAGAAUGAGGGAUUAUGCCUCGUUUGCGAGUGUGUUUGAAUUCAACGGAUUGUUGGUGAGGAGUGGGAACUUUGUUUUAACGUUAACCAGUUCGACAUUUUGCACUUUUUUAGCUAACGUUAGCUACAUUUGUCACCCAGGAGCUGUUUGUGAGCAGUGAAAAUUUUGUUUACACUAAUUCGACGGGACAUUUUUCACCUGUUAGCUACCUCUUAGCUAGCAAUACUUCUCAGUCGCAUGCAGCAGACACCGCCCAUCGUUGAGCCCCUACAAAUAGCGGAGGACAGGCCACGGGAGGGCUGCUGUAGCGGUCAACUAAAUCUGAUCCCUCUGAGCUCCCAGAGAAGCCAACCAUCAAAAUCAUCGCUAUGAUUGAGCUUGUACCAAUCCCAUCACCAACUAAAUCAUGUAGUGACACACCAAGGGAGGCUGACACUGAGAUCCUGUCCAAUUCCUAUUUGGAUGAAAUUUUUCUCUGGCCAAAGGGAUGUAACCGAUAAGGACUUGUACAGUGAAACUCCAGUGGGAAUCCUGUGCGUCAAUCAAGAAAAUCCUUGGUUCAACCCAUCCAUAGUAGGGAUCUUGGAAUGGAUUGUGGUGGUGGAUGAACUGGCCAACCUGCGUCAGACUUUCUGUGUCCUUUUUGGAUUCAUUUGUGCCCUGCACCUGAACCAUGAAAAACACUGUCUAUUUUAUCCAGCAGGUCAUGUUCAAACUAGGUAACAUAACCUAGAUAAGAUAUUUGAUUUUGUCCACAUCGCCCAGCCCUGUGUGAAAACUUCUCUCAAGACUGAACAACACAAUUUUGUUGUUGUAGCUGUUUCAAGCUUAUGAUUCAAGGUUGUUCAAGAUCUAUUAAAGCAGGGCAUCCAUCUUGUAACUCAGAAGGUACCAGUAGCUCUAUACUUGUUUCUGAGUAGCUCACCAGGCACUCAUUCACUAGACUGCGAAAUGCUAGUAGGAGCUAGGUUGUAAACCUCUGUUCAAAUAAUUAGAAAUAAACUUGCACAAGUUUUUCAAGGCAAGCCGUGAUGUUUCUUGACUGUCAUGUUCUAUUUUAAACUGAAACUUUGAAAUUGGAAUAGAAUGGGGAAAUGUGCUUU